GGUGGUUCUCCGGUGAUGCACCUCAGAAUUGGGCUCCCUCCUCUCUGGCUCCCAGUGCGUCAACUGAGAACUGCA
rfam:Myotis brandtii contig197267, whole genome shotgun sequence.